AUUGAGUCCUUAUUCUCUGCCAAGGAAUGCAAUGAAUUUUAAAGGACGUUGGAAACAAUUCAUUGCUCUCAGAGAGCAGAAGAGCUUCCUUUUACACAUUUGCUUUUGUUUAUGUGUGAUUGACUGUAACUCCAUGCCUGAGACUUCUCUCCUUACUCGGACACUACUCGUAUUGGAUUAUGGCUUACCUCGAUGUUGUUUUACCUGUGCCUUGUAUAUAAAACCCUAUCUUCAGGCCAUUGGAACUGGCUCACAGGAGAAAUCUGGAUGGUUUGGAUUUGCAGCCUGUGGUGGUUUGAGUAUGCUUAGCCCAAGGAGUGACACUAUUGGGAAGUGUGGCCCUGUUGGAGUGGAGGAAGUAUAUCACUGUGGAUGUGGGGUUUGAGACCCCCAUCUUAGCUGCCUGGAAGUCAGUCUUCUGCUGUCUGCCUUCUGAACAAGAUGUAGAAUCCUCAGCUCCACAGUGUCAUGUUGUCCUGGAUGCUGCCAUGCUUCUGUCUUAAUGAUAAUAUAUUGACCCUCAGAACCUGUAAGCCAGCCCCAAAUAAAUGUUGUCUUAUAU